AUUGAACGCUGGCGGCAGGCUUAACACCUGCAAGUCGAUCGAGCGGCGGACGGGUGAGUACUGUCUGGGAAACUGCAUCAUGGAGGGGGAUAACUACUGGAAACGGUAGCUAAUACCGCAUACCAUCAGAUGUGCCCAGCUGGGAUUAGCUAGUAGGUGGGGUAAUGGCUCACCUAGGCGACGAUCCCUAGCUGGUCUGAGAGGAUGACCAACCACACUGGAACUGAGAAACGGUCCAGACUCCUACGGGAGGCAGAAGUGGGGAAUAUUGCACAAUGGGCGCAAGCCUGAUGCAGCCAUGCCGCGUGUGUGAAGAAGGCCUUCGGGUUGUAAAGCACGUUCAGCGAGGAGGCGUUACUCGCAGAAGAAGCACCGGCUAACUCCGUGCCAGCAGCCGCGGUAAUAC
rnacentral:rRNA from 1 species